GCCAGAAAACUCAACUCCAACUGUUCACGUGAAUUGGAAAUGUGGUCGGACUGGCUCCAGCAUAUUCUUUUUUCCCAACGAAUGAGGCGUCGUCCAAAUAAAAUGAGAAGCUGAAGCUGAAUCCAAGUUUUUAUUUUUGAUAUUCGAUCAAUCUAUGGCUUCGCAAUUGCUGGCAGCAGCGGCGGAGAAAAUCGGACCUGCCGUGAGGCGGCAAGCCCUAAACUUAACCGACGCGGCAGCUUCUAGAAUACGCCAUCUAUUGCAGCAUCGCCAACGGCCUUACCUCAAGCUCGGCGUCAAGGCUCGCGGCUGCAAUGGCUUAUCCUACACUCUCAAUUACGCUGAUGAGAAAGGAAAGUUUGAUGAAUUGGUUGAGGAAAAGGGUGUAAAGAUACUUAUUGAACCAAAAGCUCUCAUGCACGUUAUUGGAACUAAGAUGGAUUUUGUUGAUGACAAACUGAGGUCUGAGUUCAUAUUUAUAAAUCCAAACUCUAAAGGCCAAUGUGGUUGUGGCGAAUCUUUCAUGACAACAACUAGCGCUGGAGCUGCUAAGCAGGUUGGCAGCACAUAAGACUUUUGAUGGCUUGAGAUAUCUUAACUGACCCAUUGUUUCAUACUCACCAUGCACUGAUGGUAUCUAGCAAAACACUUGUAUGAGAGCACACCUAGUUUCCUUAGCAAAAGAAAGCAAAAGCACUUCUAUUAUAUGAGAUCUAAUCCAUAUGGAUUUUAUAUGUUAUGUCCUAAUCUUUUAUUUUAUAUUGUAUUUCACUUAAUUAAUAAAAUCUCGUUAAAAA